AUUGGCUUUCCCCCACUUAUUGCAGAGAAGUGAGGCGGGCAGACACCCGGAACCGUUGUUCGCGGGUGUUUGUUUCCCGCCGGGGCGGAUUUCUGGGGCCGCGUCUGGCCGAGACGGAGGCAGGAGCGGGAGCCGUCUCCGGGCUCUCCGAGUCCAUGACCCCGCGCGGCGGACAUCCUGGGGCCGCCCCUCGAGCCGCUUCCCACCGCGCUCGGACCCGAGAGACCUCCGCACCGCGAGCCGGCGCCGGGAGGAUGCCGGGCAGCUGGCGCAGCACGUUCUGGACCACUUGGCUGGAAGGAAUUUCCUGGACCAUGGAGAGACUGCAGGGGCGCCACAGAAUCUCUUGUUUCUGGUACAGAAGCUGCCUCCCCUCCCCAGCUGCAGCGCCGCCCCGCUCUGGUUCCCCCCGCGCCACGAUCUGCUCGUGGACACGCGCAGCAUUCGCUACUAGUUCACCGCGCAGCUGGAGGACGAGCUGCGGGCGCCCCCCCGGCGCUGCACUCGACGUUCCAACCUUACGCGUGCGCCGCCUGCCCCAGGCCUUCCAGCGCUGCGGCCACCUGGCGCGGGCCGGCGCCGACCGCCGCACUAGGUUCCAGAUCUGGCCUGGCUGCCCUGCCCCGCUCUGGUCAACGCGCUCCUGCACCAAGACGCGGCCGCCGGACCUCGGUUUCCUCUCUGCGCGCGGGAGCGUCGGGCCCACCGCGCUUUGUGCCGACAUCACCCAGACGCUGUCGCUGCUGCUCCUUGCGCCUCAGUCUCCCCCUUCCUCGAUGGGAAGAGCCACUCUUGCCCACCUCUGCAUCUGUCAGGGUUUGGCCCUCUCGGGCCCUCGGUCUCCCCACCUGCCCGAUGGGAAGAGCCAUUCUUGCCCACCUCUGCAUCUGGCAAGGUUUGGCCCUGUCUGCACCUCGGUCUCCCCAUUUGCCCAGCCGACAGAAACUUCCCUCUUCCCGCCCUCUGCCUCGUUUGGAAGGGGAUGCAGGCGGGUCGGCCGGUGGGAAGAGGACGGAUUGGGCGCGCCCGUUCCUUGUGGGACUUCGGGCAAAGACAGCCUCGCCUAG
rnacentral:lncRNA from 1 species